rnacentral:rRNA from 1 species
UAGGGAAUCUUCCGCAAUGGACGCAAGUCUGACGGAGCAACGCCGCGUGAGUGAAGAAGGAUUUCGGUUCGUAAAACUCUGUUGUUAGAGAAGAACAGCGCAUAGAGUAACUGUUAUGCGUGUGACGGUAUCUAACCAGAAAGCCACGGCUAACUACGUGCCAGCAGCCGCGGUAAUACGUAGGUGGCAAGCGUUGUCCGGAUUUAUUGGGCGUAAAGCGAGCGCAGGCGGUCAAUUAAGUCUGAUGUGAAAGCCCCGGCUCAACCGGGGAGGGUCAUUGGAAACUGGUUGACUUGAGUGCAGAAGAGGAGAGUGGAAUUCCAUGUGUAGCGGUGAAAUGCGUAGAUAUAUGGAGGAACACCAGUGGCGAAGGCGACUCUCUGGUCUGUAACUGACGCUGAGGCUCGAAAGCGUGGGUAGCAAACAGG